CGAGCGGGCAGGCCGGCUGGCGAGCAGGGGGCGGGCGGGAGACGGAACAAAAGCGCCUUUGUUGAGCGGCAGCCGCCGGAGGGUCACACACAAUGGAGGAGGGAGCCGGCUCCGCCGCCGCCGGGCCCGCCGCGGCGCCCUCCCGAGCCGCCCCGCCGGCGCCCCGCACACGUACACACACACACUCACGGGACUCCUCCGGCUCAUCGAGGGAGUGCGGGGCCCGCGGACAGCCCCCAGGGUCGGCUCAGGUCUCCGGCUGUGCUGACGGCAGCGGCGUCUCCGAGGCUCUCGCUUUGCCGCAGUCGCCGCCAUGUAACCCCGACCCGAGAGAGAGGGCGAGGGAGAUGGGGCGGGGCCUCCGGGGCCACGCCCCCGCACGUCACAGGCUCACUCCACGGGUUCCCCCGCCCCCGCCCGGCCCCGCGCGCCAGCACGCGCCGGAAUUUCCAAAGCCUGUGACUGGGCUCCGCGGGCCGCGGGGGCGGCGGAGGGCGCGCGGGCGCUGGGGCCGCCUCCGGCGGCUGGACCCGCGACCGCUCUGCUAUGCUCCCUGUCCCCGCGCUGGAGCACAGCGACCCAACUCCUUGCGAGCGUUUCCUGCGCACCUACUACGUGCAAGGCGCUGGCAGUCCAGGAGGAAUAGGCCUUCGUCCCUGUCCCCGGAAAUGGGCCUGGAACGAGAAGGCUGGAGCUGAAGAUGGAUUGGCUAGAAGGCAACAGCCGACGUACAGGGCAAACGCGUUAGAGGCCAGGUGCUAAGGAGGUUGUUAAAUCUGCCCGCGGGUAUGAAGGAAGGCUUCUAAGGGAGGUCGCCACGGGUGACCUUUCAGCUGUAUCAGAAGGAGCUGAUAUAACCGGAGGAGAUCCAUCUGCUGGGUGUUUUCUACUCUGGAGAGCUUAAGGACAUCUCAGCCCAGUGACUUUUCUUCUAUGAGCCUGCUUUCAGACAGUCCGUAAAAGUUUUAAAGAAGACAAGUCCCCCAGAGGUAAUCCUUGAGGGCUCCACUCUGAAACAGGAAGACUCCAUCUGGUAUCCUGGCACCAACAGUAGUCAGUAGACUGGGUACUGGCCCCAGUUCUGACACAGUAGUUGUUAGAUUCCAGGCAAGUCAUUUAAUUUCCAUUCCUAAAAUGGUAAAAAUACCACCUGCCUCACCUCCCUUGCAGGGUUAUUCCAAGAAUUACAUGAGAUGAUGUGUGUGAAAGCACUCUGAAAAGGCUAAGCGACUGUAUAAAUAAAGGGUGUUAUUAAUAUUUCCAUCCAAAGCUCACCUGUUUAAACCAUGGUUUCCUGAAGUUAAGCCAGCUCUCUUCUUUCAUUCAAUUCAUUCCUUUGAUGUUCUUUAAGUGCCUACUUUAUCCAAGAUAGAACUUUCUCGAUAAUUUAUUUGGGUAGAGCUUUUUUUUUCAAUGUUUAAUGUGUACAUUGGUAGGAACUUUUUAAAAAGUGUAGCGUUCACUGUAUCUGUGCUUAUUUAUCCCUCAAAGAAACGUAGUCAAAUAGUGAAGCAUGAGACAUGCUCAAGCAUGUGGCUGCAAAGGUAGAAGAGCAGAACGCAAUCUCUGCCUGCAUCUCCCCACAGAAAGCAGGAAUGCCUUCUACCCUUAGCCUAGGAGAGAUAGAAGGGAAAGCCCAGAGCAGGGCCCAGCUGAGAGGAUGGCGAGAAGGGGAUGAGGAGUAACUAUAUACAACCUCUCGGAGCCCAACAAGCAGUAUUAUAAUAAAUAGAUUUACUUACAUGAAAGCAGCUUAAGGCAAUCUCCUUUGAUUUAGCCUGUGGUCCAUUCAGCAAAGAAAAACUUCUUCUGUGUUUAAAAGCCUCUGAUGAAGGUUUAUAAGUACUAUCUCCGAAGGAAAAAUAGAAAGCAAAUGAUUCUUGGGGAAGAGGGAAAAAGACAAAUUUUUAAAAUGAUUUAGCUGUGCAGCAGGUUAUGAAGGAGGGAAAAGGAAGAGAUGAAAAUGGUUCUUUCCCUCCUCCUUCUGUGACUCAGAGAUUAAUCCUAAAAAUAAUCUUCAUCCCAGUAUGGGGAAGCUGAGCGGAGACUCGCAUCGCCACAUUCUGAGUUCCAUGAUGGCCUUGGAGAGGAAAAGAACAAAAGGAGGAGGGAGAUAGGACACAGUAACUAUUAAAGAUAAUCUAUAAAAGACUACCUACUCAGAAGAGGUGAGGUGAAAUUAAAGGCCAGUCUAACUGAUGAAAUAGGCAUUUCUGUUCUUGCCCUGUUCUGAAGUAUGUUGUGUCAGCAAGGAUGAAGCCUCAACUUGCCUUGUCACUAAUUCUUCUGGUGAUCCAUAUUUUACUCAUUCAAAUGAAUUUUUGUCUCUCAACAUCAUUCUUCUUUCCUUGUGUCAGCAACAAGAGGCUCUUUUUUAGGUGUCUCCUUAGUCACAUUUAAUUUAUGUAAGUAUGUUUAUUUUUUUUUUAAGUUUUCUAUUUUGAAAGUAUUUCAAACUUACAGAAAAGUUGCACACAUAGCACAACGAACUUUUUUUUCACCUGAG
ensembl:lncRNA